rnacentral:hammerhead_ribozyme from 1 species
AUCCAGCUGACGGGUCCCAAACAGGACGAAACGCGCGUCCUGGAU